GAUCAUUGGAAUGAAUCAAGGUCUGUUUUCAUAUAUCAUGUGUUAUAUGAGUGGAAACAUUCACAGGGCAAAAAUGCAACCCUUUCAAGUUUGAAGAGGAAGGUCUUUGCUGUCCAUAAGAAUUCAGAUAUUGAUCUUGUCAGCAUUUUCAGAUGCCUUGGGACAAGAAGCCAAGAAGAAACUGGAGAUCAGGAUGAUGAAGCGCCAGAGAGCUCUGAGAUGGACACAUAAACUGGAGCUCUAGGCACUUCCGAAUAAGUUACGUGGGAACAGUAAACACAGUUGUGUACACUCAUGAAAAAACAUGGCUGUGUCGUGUUCAGUGUUUGUAUUGGCUACAGACAUAACAUUUUGUCUAGCUCCAGUUAUAGAGUAGUGAAAGUGGUCUAGAGUGUAAGGUUUUCGUGAAGCGGGAAAUCACCCGUCUAAUCAUUGUGAUGUAAGAACUCGUCAGUCUGUUUUACAGUUGGCACAUUCAUGCUUUUGCUAUUG